AAGGAGAAAAGCGAAGGCGAGCGUUUCGCCGCGAUGGGCAAAUGUUCUUCGCCUGGAGGGAUGUUUACAUCCCGAAGGCGAAGGUUAUUUGACCCCGAGCGGCGGCGAGCCGGAGCUAGACAGGGAGAAAAGCGGAAGCGCCGCGAUUGGCGGCGAGCUAACGUUAGACAUCCUAAACGCGCUUCUGUUUCGUUCAGUUUUGAAGGAAUGAGAAAUUCCUUCAGUUGCUUCGCAUCUGUGCCUGCGUCUGCUAGCAGGUUCAGGGAAGCAAGAUUCCUCGGCACAAAGCCGCAAGGAAGUUUGUUCAAAGAAGUCGCUUUGCGUCUACAAACGGAUUCGAGGAAGUGGGAUUCCUCGAUGCAAGACUGCAGAGAAGUGAAUUCAAGAAGCAGUCUCGUUUGCGUCUGCGUCUACAAGUGGAUUCGGAGAAGCCGAAUUCCUCGACGCAAACCAGCGAAGAAGCAGGUUCAAGGCAGCAACUUUGCAUCUGCGUCUUCUAGCAGAUUCGAGGAAGCGGGAUUCCUCGAUGCAAGACUGCAGAGAAGCAAAUUCAAGAAGCAGUCUCGUUCCUUGAAAACUAGAUAACCGGAAAAGCGGAGGCGAGCGUUUCGCCGCGAUGGGCAAAUGUUCUUCGCCUGGAGGGAUGUUCACAUCCCGAAGGCGAAGGUUAUUUGACCCCGAGCGGCGGCGAGCUGAACUAGACAUAAGGAAGAAGCCGAGAGCGCAAUA
rnacentral:misc_RNA from 1 species